rnacentral:rRNA from 1 species
UAGGGAAUCUUCGGCAAUGGGGGAAACCCUGAUGCAGCGACGCCGCGUGAACGAAGAAGGUAUUCGUAUCGUAAAGUUCUGUCCUAUGGGAAGAUAAUGACAGUACCAUAGAAGAAAGCUCCGGCUAAAUACGUGCCAGCAGCCGCGGUAAUACGUAUGGAGCGAGCGUUGUCCGGAAUUAUUGGGCGUAAAGGGUACGCAGGCGGUUUAAUAAGUCGAAUGUUAAAGAUCGGGGCUCAACCCCGUAAAGCAUUGGAAACUGAUAAACUUGAGUAGUGGAGAGGAAAGUGGAAUUCCUAGUGUAGUGGUGAAAUACGUAGAUAUUAGGAGGAAUACCGGUGGCGAAGGCGACUUUCUGGCCAUAACCUGACGCUGAGGUACGAAAGCGUGGGUAGCAAACAGG